rnacentral:rRNA from 1 species
GAUGAACGCUGGCGGCGUGCUUAACACAUGCAAGUCGAACGGAAAGGCCCAAGCUUGCUUGGGUACUCGAGUGGCGAACGGGUGAGUAACACGUGGGUGAUCUGCCCUGCACUUCGGGAUAAGCCUGGGAAACUGGGUCUAAUACCGGAUAGGACGAUGGUUUGGAUGCCAUUGUGGAAAGUUUUUUCGGUGUGGGAUGAGCUCGCGGCCUAUCAGCUUGUUGGUGGGGUAAUGGCCUACCAAGGCGUCGACGGGUAGCCGGCCUGAGAGGGUGUACGGCCACAUUGGAAUUGGAAGAGGGGCCGGACUCCUGCGGGGGGCGGAAGGGGGGAAAGUUGCACGAUGGGCCGAAGCCUGAUGCAGGAACGCCGCGGGGGGGUAGACGGCUUUCGGGUUGUAAACUCCUUUCUGUAGGGACGAAGGGUUUUUGUGACGGUACCUGGGGAAAAAGCCCCGGCUAACUACGU